GACGAACGCUGGCGGCGUGCUUAACACAUGCAAGUCGAACGGUGAAGCGCCUUCCUUUUUGGUGGGUGUGGAUGAGUGGCGAACGGGUGAGUAACACGUGAGUAACCUGCCCCCUUCUUCUGGAUAACCGCAUGAAAGUGUGGCUAAUACGGGAUAUUCUGGGUCUGUCGCAUGAUGGGUCUGGGAAAGAUAUUGUUUCGGUGGGGGAUGGGCUCGCGGCCUAUCAGCUUGUUGGUGGGGUGAUGGCCUACCAAGGCGGUGACGGGUAGCCGGCCUGAGAGGGUGGACGGUCACACUGGGACUGAGACACGGCCCAGACUCCUACGGGAGGCAGCAGUAGGGAAUAUUGCACAAUGGGCGCAAGCCUGAUGCAGCGACGCCGCGUGAGGGAUGGAGGCCUUCGGGUUGUGAACCUCUUUCGCCAGUGAAGCAGGCCUGCCUCGUUUGUGGGUGGGUUGACGGUAGCUGGAUAAGAAGCGCCGGCUAACUACGUG
rnacentral:rRNA from 1 species